rnacentral:rRNA from 1 species
GGUUCAUUCAAAUUUCUUCCCUAUCAACUUUCGAUGUUUGGGUAUUGGCCAAACAUGGUUGCAACGGGUAACGGAGGGUUAGGGCUCGACCCCGGAGAAGGAGCCUGAGAAACGGCUACUACAUCCAAGGAAGGCAGCAGGCGCGCAAAUUACCCAAUCCCGACCGGGGAGGUAGUGACAAUAAAUACUGAUACAGGGCUCUUUUGGGUCUUGUAAUUGGAAUGAGUACAAUUUAAAUCCCUUAACGAGGAACAAUUGGAGGGCAAGUCUGGUGCCAGCAGCCGCGGUAAUUCCAGCUCCAAUAGCGUAUAUUANAGUUGUUGUGGUUAAAAAGCUCGUAGUUG